UACGUAGGGUGCGAGCGUUGUCCGGAAUUAUUGGGCGUAAAGGGCUCGUAGGCGGUUUGUCGCGUCGGGAGUGAAAACCAGGUGCUUAACACCUGGCUUGCUUUCGAUACGGGCAGACUAGAGGUAUUCAGGGGAGAACGGAAUUCCUGGUGUAGCGGUGAAAUGCGUAGAUAUCUGGAGGAACACCGGUGGCGAAGGCGGCAUCCUGGACCAAUAUUGACGCUGAGGAGCGAAAGCCAGGGGAGCAAACGGG
rnacentral:rRNA from 1 species